GACGAAGGAUGCAAGCGUUAUCCGGAUUCAUUGGGUUUAAAGGGAGCGUAGGUGGUCUUAUAAGUCAGUGGUGAAAUCUCUGGGCUUAACCCAGAAAUUGCCAUUGAUACUGUAGGACUUGAGUAUAGUUGCCGUUGGCGGAAUAUGACAUGUAGUGGUGAAAUACAUAGAGAUGUCAUAGAACACCGAUUGCGAAGGCAGCUAACGAAACUAUAACUGACACUGAGCUCGAAAGUGUGGGGAUCAAACAGG
rnacentral:rRNA from 1 species